CGAUUAUCAACUCACUGAGAGACCAGGUUACAGAUGCUGCACAUAGAAGUCUAUGAAGAGAGGAAAGGGAGGAGGCAGAGAGACCUGCACAGAGAGGCAAAGGCAAAUAGAGACAAGGCUGGUUCUAGUGCGUCUUAUGGGUCGGUGCAUCUUAUAGGGCGAAAAAUACGGUACUUGCUCCUCCUCCCGAUCUCCGCUGCCCCUUGUGUACACCGCACGCUGUGAAGUCACACGGAGGCACUGCAAUGCUAGGGUGAGCCCCAGUCUCCUUCCUGAACUGCAGAGCAGUGCCCACUUCCAGCCCUGAGCCCAGCUGCCCAGAGCAUUGAUCCUGAUCCUGAUGGAGUCUUCAGAACUGCAUCCGGCCGCGAUUCCCUUGGGUCAUUACAUCAACUGCAGGACUAGGAAUGUGAUUUACGCACUCAUUUGUGAAUGUGGAAAAAUAUAUGUGGGCCAGACCGGACAGGAGGUACGGAAGCGUAUCCAACAGCACCUAUCAAAUAUUGCCUUGGCCCGUCGUGACCGGAUCCAAGCUAAGAAACCGCUGACUUCAGUCGCUGCGCAUUUUCUGGACUGUCACCCGUGCAUAACUUCUGGAUUUAGGAUUGCCGGCCUUGACGUGGUACGCAUGAAUCUGAGAGGAGGGUCGGCCACCUCCCAGCUACUACGUUUGGAGUCCAAAUGGAUCUUUAAUCUGGACACAGUGGCCCCACAUGGACUAAAUGAAGAUAUCACCUUCACUGGCUUUUACAACUGAAUUUGGGGUUCCACAUUUGGAUCUCGUGUAGGUGGGAGGUUACCUCUUCGUCUGGGGUCUUUGGGCACAUUGUCACCUCAGGAGAGAUGGGGCUUGUUCUAUAAUGGGCAAAUAGCUCUGUGUUGGUUGGGCACCCGCACUGCCAGCUAACUCGCAUACACAUUGACGGGUUGUGCGGUCUGGAAACAGUGUGGUUGUGGGCAAUUUUCUGUGCUUUACAUCAGCAGUCACUUGAUGUUGGCGAGUUUAUACUGACACGGGGGUCCAAGCAAGGGACUGCAGAAUAUAUAAAUCAGGCAUGGCCGUUUGGCCUGCCGUUACAUACUGAUUUUUUAUUUAUUAAUCCUUUCAUGUACUUAUCAACUAACCAAAUUAAUUCAUUCCUUACAGAUCUUCUUCACUUCUUUAAUUCUCUCUCUAUACACGAUUGUGCACUCCUUUAUCCACCAUACUUUUCACUUCUACUUCUGUGGUCUUUCCCACGUUGUAUUUCAGUUAGUUAUUUAUCACCUCACUACUUUUCUCCUUUUAGGUUUUCUACACGUUUUGGAUCAUAGAUUAGGGUCCUUACUAUUGUUUAUGACUAUUCAUUAUCAAUUGGUCCUGUAGGAAUAUAUGUUGAUGCAAUGGUUAUAAUAUGAAUUCAUAUGUUUAUUUAAUCACUCAUGAUUGCUUCAUAUUUUGUAUAUAGGAUGAUAAUUGUGUAUCUGCUGCUCAUUCCUUGACCCCUGAUAUGUAUAUGCUUCUCUAUUUGCAUUUAUGUCCAUGUGGCUGUAUGGUUGUCUUAUUAUCAGCACCCCUGUAUCUAUACAUAUACAACAAACGGUCCCCAGCAUAGGCACAAUCUCACUACAUCAUAUUGGAUGUUACUAUAUCAUAUACUAUAUUCAUAACAUUGACAUUUUAUCUAGCAUGCUCUCCUGUAUCCACUCCGGUAUAUUGGGCUGCCCAGGCCCUCCCAUCUGUGUGAUGA